rnacentral:tRNA from 1 species
GCUGUAGUUGAGUUUGUACAGUGCCUGCCUUGCAUGCAGAAGACCCUGGGUUCUACUCCCAGAACAGCA